UUAAAAUGCAGACAAAGUUUAAAAAGCAAUAGAAGAGAGUUGCAGAAAAUCCAGAUUAAUAGUUAAAAGUUGAAAUAGUUUAUCCUCUUACACAGGGGUAUUAAUUACAAAGAGCAUCCUCAGUCUCAUUUGCAGAGUUUCCCUUUCACUAUCUGGAACUGAAGCAGUAGAUUAAUGAGAGAGGCUGGGAAGGUGCCACCUUGUAAGGAGCUGCAUGGAAAUGAACCACUUAAAAUGCACAAACAAGUUUUAUUGCAACUGCCAAACCUAGGAACCAUGUAACAUCCUACUAUAGAAUAUACUGUAACUAAUGACAUCAACUAUUUACACACAUUUAUUGUGUUGUUGUGUUUUGUUUUCAGAUCUCCAUAUAUAGGUGAACAUUUUGAAUUUUUUGCUAAAGAUUUCCAAAUUAACAUCUAAAGGAUUUUUUAUUUUCCUUUAUGUAUUCUCUCUGGGUUAUAUCGGUGCUACAGGGCUACUCAGCCCAUGCUGUAGCGAUUCCUGCUUAGAUGUUAUUAAUACAGUGCAGGAGAGGAUGGUAGAUACGAGUCUUGUAGAAAUGAAGCUAAUGCUGAGACUCACUGUUUUCAUUUCCCUGUGCUUUUGCAUUUAGAUUUCAUAGCACUGAAAGUCUUGGUGGGCAUAGUGUGGAUGGCUUGAUGGUGGAAAUGGAAGAUCUUGGUGGUCUUUUCCAACCUUUAUGAUUCUUUGUGAUUCCUGAGAGGAAAAAACACCAUUCCUGUUCACAGUGAAGGAGCCACAGUCCACCACCUCCAGGGUCAAGGCUUUGCCACCACCGCAGGGCAUGGAGUGCCAUAAGUAGUGCUGAAUGGAGCAAGGAGGAGGAGAUGGCCGCACACAUAGCAUGGAAGCUUUGACUAAUGAUUGCUGCCAUAUGCUGCAUGUCACAGGUGAGUAUUUUACUGCCUUAAAAUUUGACAAUUCUGUAUCCAGCUUAAUAGUUCUGUCAUCUCAGCGUUGCCAUUAGCACUGAAUUACAACAGAGGAUAUUUAAACAUUGGAUUAGGGUGUCAAAUAUUUGUUAAAUAACAAGGGUAGACAUUAUAAAAAGAGUCAGUGAUACUUUAAAAACAUCAGUCAGUCAACAAAGGUAUAAAAAUUGGCUCGGUGACUAAACAAAGUUUGCUCGAUGUUUAUUUGUUAUACUGCAGUUUUAGGCAUCUAUCUUGCUGUGGAUUUUAUGCAUAAUACACACACACUGGCCAAAUUCCUGUCAGUUGAGAAAGUCACAUAGAGAAUAUAUUUAAUGGCCAGUCUGAAGUUUACAGAAAGAGGAAAAUUAAUAGAUCUG
rnacentral:lncRNA from 1 species